GCAGUCCAUCAACAUCUCUUUCUUCCUGAGUCAGGUUCCGAGCGAGAUGGGGUCGCGAUGCAGACAAUGCUGGGCGCGGCGGCGGCGAUCUCCAGCCAGAUCCGAUCGAGGGGUCGAGGCAGGGGCUGGAUCCUGUUCAGGGGAUGGCGUGGAGGCGAUCUACAAAUCGCGGGAGGAGGUCAGGCGACGGGGCUUCAACUCCAAGUUCAUGGCGGCGGCGUUCCUCCCCGGUUCCGACCAAGAUGGGGAGCUCCGGCGGAGUCUCUCCAUGGAUAAGGUGGCGCUGCACCUGUGAGAGACAGAGGGAAGGAGAGGGCACGAGAAGCAGCGGGGAAGUUCUGGUGGUGCCCGUCGCCUGCAACAGCUCUCUUGAGUACGUCCAAAGAGAGAUGAGAGAGAGCCGGGAGGAAGAAGGAAAGGAAGGAGACUUCAGGAAGGGGUAGCGGGAUCCUGCAGGGCUGGGUUGGAGCCCCGUGGUAGCUUGCUCUGAUGGUGCUACUACUGUUGUUGGACGGCAGCCGAUGGGACAAGGCCUAGGUAAGAGGAAAAACAUGUGUUGCAUCGACACAUUUGAUGCAGAGCGGCCACUGUAAGUUCCUCUCCCUUCUCUAAUUAGUAUUGAGAUUCCAUUGAUAUUUGAUGGAGAGCAGCCACCAAAAGUUCCUCUUUUGAUGCACCGAAAACAGCUCUCUCUCUCUCUCUCUAAUUUAUUCUCAGCUAUAGAAUGACGUGUAUCUAUGCUACUUGCUAAUGUGAUGGAUAAUGCAUGUGGAUUGAUUCAUGAAUUAGCAAAAUAUUUCAUGUGAGAUGUGCUAGAGAACGGUUUUGAUCUAAUUGAAUAAUACGAAGUAUUUUAGUUCUGAUGGUAAUAGACGAGCAACUUCAGUUGUAUUUGAUUUCAGUUUUUGUUUUUCAGUAUAUGUUGGUCAAGAUUCAACUUUGUUUAUGUCCAUGUUUUGCUGGUAUAAUGCAUCAUCAAGCUUUCUUUUUAUAUGAUGAUACUGUGUAAAUCAGCAUAUGGAUGUGCAAAAUAUUCUUAGGGGCAUUAGCCUAGACAAGGAUGUUGAUGGUUUACAUCCCUUAAACAUUGGUAAUGUUGCCCUCAGAAGCUGGAAACCUGUGAUUGUUUCUUGUGCUACAAUAUGGAUUUAUCUCAUGGAAAGCACGUGUGGUGAAAGAAAGUCAUUAGCCAAUCCUACAAUGUUUUGGUUUAUUUUUCGGAUAGUCCUUUUUGACUGAUUAAUCAUGUGUGACGUUUCAUGCAGUGAUCUGUCCUAACCAGGAAGACAAUGCUGAGGUAGUACAGGUUACAUCUAUGUUCAGAGAUGAGGCUAAGAUAAAAGAUGCUCAUAGUUAGUUCAUAGUUUGAUUUCAUGAGGAAUCCAUAGGGUGGCGGAUGUUUGCUAUGAGGUGGUGUAUGUACGUGUUGCACCUCAUGGCCGUGCCAUGCUUCCUGCAAGCCAAUUUACUGCUUCUUCCGAGGUCAUAUAGUGAUGAAAUGGCACCGAGAAUCUAAAGGUUAGUAAUUCUAUUCUAUUCUUCUCUAUUAAGAACAAUAUUAUUUUUCAUGAUUUAGUGACUGCUAAGUGCUAAUAAAUUAAUUCAAUCAUAUUGGGCCAUUUGUUAUAGAGCUAAACGAACCAUCUGAAGUGGGAUGCAUUGCAUUUUCCCAACAGAAUUUAUAGUAGCACCAAGAAGGGUUGCGUCCAUCAUCCUCAUCAUGUCCGAUCUAGGCCGCCAGAGCACCAAGUUGCUGGCCUAUUCUAACAAGUCUAGGCCCUCGAGGCAUCCCUUCUGGCUGUGGAAGGAGACCCCGAUCUGUAGGAGCGACGAGUAUGGUCCCGUAAUUAAUAACAAGACUCUCCUCUAUCCAUCUGCAUAACUCCCAUGAAGAAAAAUCUCUAAACUCCAGUAACCACCUUUAUGUCGAUCUAAGCGGUGGAGAGUUUGGUAUGGUGGCAAAUCAAGCAACUGCAGAUGGAGUCAUUCCAUGUUACUGCAUUGAGUUAGCAUACAUGGCAUGGAUGAUAGAUCAAACCCAAGUGAUUUGGAUUCUCAUGCUGGCACCUUCUCACAGUCGUGAACAUCCGUGAGUGAAUUUGGUUAUAUAGAACAAAAUCUAAGAGUUGACCAAAUGAAAUAGGUAUUUUCUUGAACUGAACGACACACAUCUAUCCCUAAUAAUAAAGCAUGGAUUGACUCCGUGGGUUCACUAUCACAAUACGUUUUCUUCCUGUAAAUUUACGCUUUCAUCAAUUUAUAAAAUAUAUAAACAAGGUGGUACUAAUUCGGGGAACCACGUCGUGUGCAUCAAACAAUCCAAACAAUACCUGCCACUGUGCUUCGGCCCAGUAAAUCAGGCCCACAUGCCUGUUUGCAGCCCAACAAAUAAUGGCGCAACCACCCGAGCUAGCUCUCCCUCUCCUCCUGAUCUCAGCCGCCACGAGGCGACCGACCCCGGCGACGCUCGAUCUGGUGCUGCACCGGCCGCCGGUCGACGCCGGCGAGGAUUUGUGCCCUCUCCCGACCCACGUCUCUCUCUCUCGCAAAAUAGGAUUGGGCGCCGCCGCCAUUUUCCUGGUUGAAGGCGGCCAGAGCGCCGCACGGGAGGCCUUUGUCGAGCGAAGCCCUGGAUCACGGCGUUCCCGCGGAGGGACAGGGCAGCGGAUUCAAGGAUGGGCGCGACAGGCGGAGCUCUGUCCUCCUUUGUCCUGUCCCAUCGAGCGCUGGAUCGAAGAAGCAUCAGCUCCCCCCACCUCCAUCCCGUCUCCUCUCCUACAUCGGCCACACCACGCCGCGCUCGUGGAGCGGAGUCGCAGAAGCACGACGCCGACUGUGGCGGAGUGAGGAGAGCUCGUCCGGUCAUCUUGUCACUCCAAGGCAGGAUCAGGCCCAACCUCCACGCCACCAGCUCCACCCCAUAUCUCUUGCCUUUCAGGUCAGUUUCAGGUCCGCUUAAAAGUUUCAGGUUAGCUCAUCUAAAAGCAGUUUCAGGUUAGUCCGCAUAAUUUAGUUACAAGUGUUAUUUGGUUGACUGUCGUUGUUACUUAUCCUAUCUGAAUCUAAAGGUUCCAUGUUUCUGACAAAACAAUGGCUGAUUUGCUAGAUGUAGAGCGCAAGCUAAAUGAUACAGGCCCUGCUGUGAAAACCAACGGGUCUCUUCUUUUACAAGCUUUUGCUACAGUUGAAUUACUCAAUAUGUGUGUGUGUUUUAUAUCAUCUGGUGAUCAAGUUUUAAUGUAUCUUGAUGAAAUGUAGACCUUUGUAACAUAUUUGCACCUUUGGAGUAACAUAUGAUGUCCUUUAUCAGUAUGGCUGAUCCUUCACCCUUAUUUCCUCUACUUGUUGAUAUGUGUCUGCUGGAACAAGCUGGUUCAAUGGUGCCUUCAGCAAAGUCGCCGAGGCUGGUCAUGUUGCCGGCUCAAGAACAACAGAAAAGUCCCAGAUAGUUGUGUCAAAUAUAUCAACCAAAGGACCUGCUGUCGUUGCUUGAGCUUGUUGAGUUUGUUCUGGGAGCUCCUCUUCCUGGGGAAAAUCUGUUGGAAACCUUGAGCAAGCAUCUAAUGUUGGCUGUGUCAUCAAGCUUUGGCUUGUAACUGUGUAUUUCUCUCCUUCUCAUCUUCUUCUUUGAGGAGGUUUAUUUUCAGGGAGUCUUGACAGAUUUGGUAGAGGAUCUAAAUUUUCUUUAGAAUUUUAGAACCACUACCCUUUUUAGUGUCGGUGUUCAGUUGAUUAUAGAUGAUAGUGACAUUUUGGACCAUGGUCCUGGUUCGGUGUGGUUUCAUGAUUGUCAUACAAUACACUAAAUUUUCUGAGUAUUGCACAAGCCUGAGUAAAUAUGGGUUGAGGUAAUCUAACCUUAUACUACAUAUUCAAUUAAUACACGUUCUUAUUGAAAAA